UACAGAGGUCUCAAGCGUUGUUCGGAUUCAUUGGGCGUAAAGGGUGUGUAGGCGGCGCGGUAAGUCGGGUGUGAAAUCUCGGAGCUUAACUCCGAAACUGCAUUCGAUACUGCCAUGCUUGAGGACUGGAGAGGAGACUGGAAUUUACGGUGUAGCGGUGAAAUGCGUAGAUAUCGUAAGGAAGACCAGUGGCGAAGGCGGGUCUCUGGACAGUUCCUGACGCUGAGGAGCGAAAGCCAGGGGAGCAAACGGG
rnacentral:rRNA from 1 species